rnacentral:rRNA from 1 species
AAGCCCCGGCUAACUACGUGCCAGCAGCCGCGGUAAUACGUAGGGGGCAAGCGUGUCCGGGAAUGACUGGGCGUAAAGGGCGUGUAGGCGGCCGAUUAAGUCUGGAGUGAAAGUCCUGCUUUCAAGGUGGGAAUUGCUUUGGAGACUGGUUGGCUUGAGUGCGGAAGAGGUAAGUGGAAUUCCCAGUGUAGCGGUGAAAUGCGUAGAGAUUGGGAGGAACACCAGUGGCGAAGGCGACUUACUGGGCCGUAACUGACGCUGAGGCGCGAAAGCGUGGGGAGCGAACAGGAUUAGAUACCCUGGUAGUCCACGCUGUAAACGAUGAAUGCUAGGUGUAGGGGGUAUCGACCCCUCCUGUGCCGGAGUAAACGCAAUAAGCAUUCCGCCUGGGGAGUACGGCCGCAAGGUUGAAACUCAAAGGAAUUGACGGGGGCCCGCACAAGCAGCGGAGCAUGUUGUUUAAUUCGAUGCAACGCGAAGAACCUUACCAGGUCUUGACAUCGAUCUAAUCCCCAAGAGAUUGGGGGUCCCUUCGGGGGAGAGAAGACAGGUGGUGCAUGGUUGUCGUCAGUUCGUGUCGUGAGAUGUUGGGUUAAGUCCCGCAACGAGCGCAACCCUUAUGAUCAGUUACUAACGGAUAAAGCCGAGGACUCUGAUAAGACUGCCGGGGACAACUCGGAGGAAGGUGGGGACGACGUCAAAUCAUCAUGCCCCUUAUGACCUGGGCUACAAACGUGCUACAAUGGUGACUACAAAGAGGAGCGAGCCCGUGAGGGUAAGCGGAUCUCAAAAAAGUCAUCUCAGUUCGGAUUGUGGGCUGCAACCCGCCCACAUGAAGUUGGAGUUGCUAGUAAUCGCGGAUCAGAAUGCCGCGGUGAAUACGUUCCCGGGCCUUGUACACACCGCCCG